rnacentral:tRNA from 1 species
GAAUUAGCCCAGUUGGGAAAGCGUUAGACUAUAACUCGACAGGUCUCUGGUUCGAUCCCGGGAUUACA